GAGUUUGAUCGUGGCUCAGAUUGAACGCUGGCGGCGUGCUUAACACAUGCAAGUCGAGCGGCAGCGCGGUAGCAAUACUGGCGGCGAGCGGCGAACGGGUGAGUAAUGCUUCGGAAUCUUCCUCGUAGUGGGGAAUAACCUGGGGAAACUCAGGCUAAUACCGCAUACGAACUACGGUUGAAAGCAGGGGAUCGCAAGACCUUGCGCUAUGAGAUGAGCCGAAGUCGGAUUAGCUAGUUGGUAGGUAACGGCCUACCAAGGCGACGAUCCGUAGCUGGUCUGAGAGGACGACCAGCCACACUGGGACUGAGACACGGCCCAGACUCCUACGGGAGGCAGCAGUGGGGAAUAUUGGACAAUGGGGGCAACCCUGAUCCAGCGACGCCGCGUGUGUGAAGAAGGCCUGCGGGUUGUAAAGCACUUUUAGUGGGGAUGAAAAGCCGAAGGCUAAUACCUUUCGGUCUUGACCUAACCCAAAGAAAAGCACCGGCUAACUCUGUGCCAGCAGCCGCAGUAAC
rnacentral:rRNA from 1 species